rnacentral:rRNA from 1 species
UACGGAGGGGGCUAGCGUUGUUCGGAAUUACUGGGCGUAAAGCGCACGUAGGCGGCUUUGUAAGUUAGAGGUGAAAGCCUGGAGCUCAACUCCAGAACUGCCUUUAAGACUGCAUCGCUUGAAUCCAGGAGAGGUGAGUGGAAUUCCGAGUGUAGAGGUUAAAUUCGUAGAUAUUCGGAAGAACACCAGUGGCGAAGGCGGCUCACUGGACUGGUAUUGACGCUGAGGUGCGAAAGCGUGGGGAGCAAACAGG